rnacentral:tRNA from 6 species
AGGGGCUUAGGAUAGCAUAAGACCAAGAGCCUUCAAAGCUCUAAGCAGAAGUGAAAAUCUUCUAGCCCCUG